UGCUUCACUCUUUAUAUGACAACUUUCACUAGGUGCCUCCCUCAAAGAUGGAAUAUCUCUAAGAUGCUUAAAGGAAGUCAGAGUUGACUGCUUGAAAGUUCUUGCGGGAUGGCCUUUAAACGCUGCCAACAAGUGAAUUGUGAUGCAGGAAUAGGUAUACAGGUGGAGUUCCAGACAUAUUCAGCACAUUGAAAAAAAAAAAAAGAAAUUACAGUUCUCUGACAGGCUGCUGUUUUGAGGAUGAGAAAGAGGCACCUACAUUGAAUAUUUUAGCUGUCUGAGAGAAGCAGAGGCUUAAUUGAAGCAGAGGCAACAUCAUCAUGUAGAAGUGCCUGUGUUCAGGCAAAAGAAACACCUCUAUUGGGAAAGCAGCUUUGCUUUAUGCUGAUCUUCAUAUGUGUUUUAAAAUCUCCAACAACUAUUGUGGGAAAUUUGGACAGGUGUGUUGGGUGACCUAGAUCAUUCUCUGAAGCUAUGCACCUGCAAUUUCUAUUAACUAUUAUUAAACUGGGCAGGAUGUCUUCCACAUGCAAUUUGACCUGUGGCAGACUGAGGAGUAGGGAAUGUUAGAAAACCCUCCAAAUCUAUCUCAACAGAAUCCACUCCUGGAGGAGCAGUUACUAGACGGAAGCCCAGCAAGUUUGACUUUCUUUUCUUACUAAUUACAGUUCUAUUUGUUUGUAUAUAGAACUUCUGUGCUAUCCUAAUAAGGGCAUGUCUAUCAGUCUUACUACUUCUAUGUUUAGGUUGAAUUUCAUAACUAAUUUCUUUUUCAAAAGUACAUUUCAGUGGGAAAUAUGUCUUGUGGAUUGGACUUAAUAUAAGGCAUUCUGCUAUUAAUGCUCUUAAUUUUGUAUGUUUUUUGCAAUGUUCAGCCAUGUGUUUUCAGCAGCAAUUCAUAAAGCAAUGCAGAAUUUGUGAGUCUUCAUGUAUUAACACAUUUGUAAGGUAAAAAGACAAAGCAAUAACAAGGAUCAAUAAACUUGUUAUCUAUCAGAAGAGAAAACUUCUGGCAAAUUUGUUUUCUCAUUUCUGAAUAUAAACAGAAUGAAACAAAACUUUUCAAAUAGAAACUGGACUCUAUUUCCAGGAAUUAGGAAUCUGUUCUGUUUCUUACAGAAAAGUUGGUCUUUUGGGUGACAAUGAGACCCUAAACCUUGUAUCAAAUUCAAUAUAAAACAAGAAAAUUUAAACAUCAUCAAAAAUUUGUGUCUGUUUUAGUAGUGACAUAAACAUAUAAAUUAGACAUUCAGAGUAUUACCUGUACUGAAAUAAAUUACAAAUACUUUGACUUGAGUAUGAGACAGGACUUAACCUGCUUAUAAUCUGGUCAAAAAAUAGAUGACUGUGAUAAACUGCAGACAACCUUGGAUUCAUAUUUCAUUCAGCUGAGUGCAAAAAGAACAUGAUUUGCAAGAAAAAUAUAUGGGAAGAAAGUAACAGUCAAGAGUGUGGAAGAUAAGGAGACUUUCAAUCUAUGCAGACUUAUUUUAUUGGCCAUUUUUUCUUCUUCCUUUCUUUAUUUUCCACUCUGUUAAAUAAUAAUUAAUUUUCCUGCCCAGUGCUUGCCAGGUUCACCAUUAAUCUGCUGAUCAGUUUGUUCCUCAACUGUACUACACAUAGUUUACACCAUUUAUUAUACUAUUGCUGAUAAGAAAAGUUUUCUGAAAGAGGUUACAUGACAUACAGUUACCCAGAAUUCAUUGCUAUAGAUCUAUUUAUUCAUAAGUAGGAGCACCAAACUUUUAUUAAUAGUGCCAUCUGAACUUUAACUUACUUGACCAACAUCUGUGUAAUAAAGGUCAGAGUCAGGGCAGAAGAUACAAUGUGUAAUUGCAAAUGCUAUUUAUGAGGUUUCUGGCUCCGAGUUCUCUGCGCUGCUGGAAGAUUCCCUCUCAGUUCUUCUGUUUGAGAGAUCUUCAGGGGUACAAUGGCAAAUUUAACAUUAAUAUGAAGAGUAUGCUAAAUUCCUGCUCAAGAGAUUACAUUCUCCCAUCAGUCCAUUUUGCAGAAAUACUCAAAGACAAUGAUUUAAAGAGCAUUCCUGGGAACUGGCAGGCAAUAAAUUAAUACCUAAUUAUUUUUCCAGCCUGAAAAUUUGCAGUUCUCAGUGUGCUAGAACAAUACCAAGUCACUACAUGGAUCUUAAAUUGGAUUAAUUGUAUAAUGAUUUCAUGAAGAGACAAAGCUUAUUAAACCUUUCACUGAAUCAGGGGAGUCAAGUACCUCAGUGUAUUUCCAUAAUAUUUGAGAUUGUCCUAACAGACUGUUAAAGCAAAAGCACUUUUUAAAAUGUGAGUUAGAUUUGCAGGAAGAUUUUACAGCACAGCAUGAAUAUUGUUUUUUCUGGGUGAUAUUUUGCGCCUCUGGGCUUGUUGUGCACCAAGAAAAACUUGUUCUCUUAUGGUAAGUCUGGCAAGACUGAAACAACAGCAAAAGAAUAUAAAAUGGAGAGCAUAAACUAGGAUCUGGAUAAUGCAGGACUUUUAUGUCACAGUUAUUGCAAUUUACACUAUUUGGAGAUUAUGAAUGCAUUCAUUUAGAGAUUUAUUUCUGACUGUAUGGUUGGCAUAGACAAUCCUGAGGAAAGCAACUUAUUUCAGGGAUUAUUCAUACAUUUCAAUAUUUCAAUUUUUAUUACUUUGAAUUUCAAUUAAUUAAAAAAUUAUGGGGUUCUUUUUCCAAGUUAAAAAGGGACACAUUUUGAUCACUGCUUCAUCUACCUGAAAUAUGUUGUUAAGUAAGAUUUCAACCAAAGUAUAUCUGAGCAGAGAUCAUCCUUUUGAAACGUCUCCUUCUGACUCCUCUUUGCAUCCAAACUACCAGCCUGGUAUGUGAUACUGGGAAUUUGCUUGG